rnacentral:misc_RNA from 1 species
AAACGAACAACUACUCAACAAA